UACAGAGACUGCGAGCGUUAUUCGGAUUCACUGGGCGUAAAGGGUGCGCAGGCGGCCAAGUGUGUGAGGCGUGAAAGCCUGGGGCUUAACUCCAGAAUUGCACCUCAGACUACAUGGCUAGAGCAUUGGAGAGGGUAGCAGAAUUCACGGUGUAGCAGUGAAAUGCGUAGAUAUCGUGAGGAAUACCAGAGGCGAAGGCGGCUACCUGGACAAUUGCUGACGCUCAGGCACGAAAGCGUGGGGAGCAAAAGGG
rnacentral:rRNA from 1 species